rnacentral:rRNA from 1 species
GGGGAACCAGGACUUUUACUUUGAAAAAAUUAGAGUGCUCCAGGCAGGCCUAUGCUCGAAUACAUUAGCAUGGAAUAAUAGAAUAGGACGUGUGGUUCUAUUUUGUUGGUUUCUAGGACCGCCGUAAUGAUUAAUAGGGACAGUCGGGGGCAUCAGUAUUCAAUUGUCAGAGGUGAAAUUCUUGGAUCUAUUGAAGACUAACUACUGCGAAAGCAUUUGCCAAGGAUGUUUUCAUCGAUAAGGAACGAAAGUUAGGGGAUCGAAGACGAUCAGAUACCGUCGUAGUCUUAACUAUAAACUAUGCCGACCAGGGAUCGGACGAUGUUAUCUUUUGACGCGUUCGGCACCUUUCGAGAAAUCAAAGUGCUUGGGCUCCAGGGGGAGUAUGGUCGCAAGGCUGAAACUUAAAGAAAUUGACGGAAGGGCACCACCAGGGGUGGAACCUGCGGCUUAAUUUGACCCAACACGGGGAAACUCACCAGGUCCAGACACAGUGAGGAUUGACAGAUUGAGAGCUCUUUCUUGAUUCUGUGGGUGGUGGUGCAUGGCCGUCCUUAGUUGGUGGAGUGAUUUGUCUGCUUAAUUGCGAUAACGAACGAGACCU